AACGAACGCUGGCGGCAGGCUUAACACAUGCAAGUCGAACGCCCCGCAAGGGGAGUGGCAGACGGGUGAGUAACGCGUGGGAAUCUACCGUACCCUACGGAACAACAGUUGGAAACGACUGCUAAUACCGUAUACGCACUACGGGGGAAAGAUUUAUCGGGGUAUGAUGAGCCCGCGUUGGAUUAGCUAGUUGGUGGGGUAAAGGCCUAACAAGGCGACGGUCCAUAGCUGGUCUGAGAGGAUGAUCAGCCACAUUGGGACUGAGACACGGCCCAAACUCCUACGGGAGGCAGCAGUGGGGAAUAUUGGACAAUGGGCGCAAGCCUGAUCCAGCCAUGCCGCGUGAGUGAUGAAGGUCUUAGGAUUGUAAAGCUCUUUCACCGAUGAAGAUAAUGACGGUAGUCGGAGAAGAAGCCCCGGCUAACUUCGUGCCAGCAGCCGCAGUAA
rnacentral:rRNA from 1 species